GAACUUGAACCCCCCUGCUGAGUCUCAGGGACUCCUGCCCCUCUCACUUGUUCCCAGCCCUUCAGCGAAGCCCUGGCGGCCCCUCAGUUUCUCCACCCACCUGGACGUCCACCUGCCUGUCUGUCCCCCGCUGCUCCCUGGUUCACCUGGCAGGUCCUCCCCCCACUCAAGCCCAGCAGCCCUCCUGCAGCGGCGUCACCUCUUCCUCUUUUCUGGGACUCGUCCCCACCUGCUGCUGCGACAGCCUUUCUCCAGAGCCCCAGACCCGCAGACCCAGCUGCCUCUUCCAAUUUCUUCCUCUUGCCACAGCCGUUUCUGUAAAUCAUCUGAGUCACACGUCGUGCCUGCCUGGGGAGCAGAGCGCCACGCGGGGCUCCCUUCCCCGUGGGGCAGCGUGGCUGCGGGAGGCUGGCUCCCGGACGCCGACGCGCACACGUGUGUACAUACAAACGACAACGUACAGUUGUCUGGUGGUUUCGCUGUGGCACAAAUGGAAUCAUGCAUAUUUCAUGGGCUGUCUGCAACCCGCUUCUCACAUGGAGCGCCGUGUCUCGGGGAGCUGGCGCUGGCACGCGCAGCCGGCCUUCUGUUCGGAUGGCGGCGGAGUUCUCCGUCCUGGGGCUGACGCUCCCGGGUCAUAAGCUCUUCUCUGCUGGUGAAGAAUAACUACUUCUGUUUGCUUGCCUUUUCAGUUCUUUGUUCCUAUUCCCAAGCAGCUGCAAUUCUUCUGGAUUCUUCCGUGCGCGUGGCAUUCGUCCAGGGAGCUGACCUGGGGGGCAGGGCUCAAGGUGGGGACCCAGAGUUUAUCUGCUUACGACUUAGAAAUCCACGUGCAAUUUGUCCCCCGGGCAGCCUGCUCCAGACGCUGGCAGUAGCCCCCCGCGUCCUCCCUGCUUGCAGAUGCACAGCCACGCUCCUCGACCAGUCUCCGCUGCUCCUUCUCGUGGGUGGGCUGGCUCUGCUCCGGCGCGUUGUCCUCCAGCCCGUCCCCGAAGAUGCUGCCAGGCUGCGGAGCUGACCACGCGGGGCUCUGCCCAUGGGUCUCUGGGGGCCCAACAGGAGAGGCUCACGCGCCCCGUGCCCAUUUUACAGAGGAGGAAACAGGUUCCAAGAGGGCGUUGGCUGAAAACCACACGGCUGGGAGGAGCUGUCGCUGCUGAAAGACGCAGGAAUGAAACGAUGCACCUCGAGAACGUUGUUCUUUGUCAAGAGCAGAAAGGACCCACUGGCCUGGCCUGGACCUGGCUGGGCCCCGCCGCUUCGGCAAAUGGCUUCGUGUUUUCAUGUGAAACAGGUUGUUGAU